GACGAACGCUGGCGGCGUGCUUAACACAUGCCAGUCGAACGGAAAGGCCCUGCUUGCCGGGUACUCGAGUGGCGAACGGGUGAGUAACACGUGGGUGAUCUGCCCUGCACUUCGGGAUAAGCCUGGGAAACUGGGUCUAAUACCGGAUAGGAGCCAUUUUUAGUGUGAUGGUUGGAAAGUUUUUUCGGUGUAGGAUGAGCUCGCGGCCUAUCAGCUUGUUGGUGGGGUAAUGGCCUACCAAGGCGGCGACGGGUAGCCGGCCUGAGAGGGUGGACGGCCACAUUGGGACUGAGAUACGGCCCAGACGCCUACGGGAGGCAGCAGUGGGGAAUAUUGCACAAUGGGCGCAAGCCUGAUGCAGCGACGCCGCGUGGGGGAUGACGGCCUUCGGGUUGUAAACUCCUUUCGCUAGGGACGAAGCUUUUUGUGACGGUACCUAGAUAAGAAGCACCGGCUAACUACGUG
rnacentral:rRNA from 1 species